rnacentral:rRNA from 1 species
CCUACGGGAGGCAGCAGUGAGGAAUAUUGGUCAAUGGUCGGGAGACUGAACCAGCCAAGCCGCGUGAGGGAUGAAGGUACAGAGUAUCGUAAACCUCUUUUGUCAGGGAACAAAGGCGGGGACGCGUCCCCGGAUGAGUGUACCUGAAGAAAAAGCAUCGGCUAACUCCGUGCCAGCAGCCGCGGUAAUACGGAGGAUGCGCCCGUUAUCCGGAUUUAUUGGGUUUAAGGGGUGGGCAGGCGGUCUGUUAAGUCAGCGGUAAAAGCCCGGGGCUCAACCCCGGCCCGCAGUUGAAACUGGCAGUCUCGAGUUGGAGAGAGGUAUGCGGAAUGCGCGGUGUAGCGGUGAAAUGCAUAGAUAUCGCGCAGAACUCCGAUUGCGAAGGCAGCAUGCCGGCUCCACACUGACGCUGAGGCACGAAAGCGUGGGUAUCGAACAGGAUUAGAUACCCGAGUAGUC